rnacentral:lncRNA from 1 species
CUCUUCGCCACCCAAGAAGGUCAUGUGCGACUUACGAUUUGUCUAAAUGUGCAUGACAAAAGAUUUACAUGAAUACGAGAGGACUAGUGAUCUGUUAGCCACGUCAUCCAUACAAAAAAUGAGGUCAACAUAAUUAAUGAAAUAAUUGAUCAGUGAACUAUAAUAACUAAGGUACGAGAAUAAAAUUCAAACAAGCUAUAAGUUUACUAUAACUAAUUAUGAUUAAGAGACGCGUAAAUGGAAAUAACUAAUUAAAGAUUAUUAAAGACAGACACCUAAUUAAAAGAAAAGAAAAUAAAAACAGAAUGACACUACCCCUUUCCUUUCUCGAUCGUCUUCCUUAGAUACCAUACUUUCUUAAGUGCAACGUGGCUAAAAUAUAUCCAGUAGGAGAACGUAUCCUACUCUAUCUCUAUCUCUAUCUUCGCGUUCAAACCUUUUAAAAUAAUUCUUCUUCUUCAAAAAAAAAAAAAAUGAAGACCGGAAGGAAUACAUAUAAUUUUAUCAACCAUCAUCUUCCGCGCUUGAUUAAGGAGGGCGACGAACGGACCUGAUAUAAUCUUCCAAAGCUUGGAUUUGUUCCUCUGUGGGUGGUGUUUCGUUGUUUUUUAUGGAUCUGUGAACAUCAUACGUUGUUGAAGCCAAGAAUAAAACCCUGCCGUGUAAUUAGAGUUCAAAUACAUGUUAAUUCGUGUGUACUGAGUAGAAACUGAGAACAAAAAGGCUGAGAAAACCUACCCCGAAGCAAAAAGAAUGAUCUGCCGUGGAUAUAUAUAUUUCCCAAAAAUCUUCAUAUCUCGAUUGGAAAAGUAUUUCAUUUCCUUUUUCACUCUGGCUCGCCCAUGUUUUCUCUCCUUUUUUGAUUGGAUUACCGAUAAAUAUUGGUUGGAGACAGAAAAGCCGAUUUUUGAAAAUUAUUUAAAGAGUAAAUUUGUUGAGUGAUAAAACCAAAA